GGCGUAUAUAACUCAGUUGGUUAGAGUGUCAGGUUGUGGUUCUGGAAGCCGGGGGUUCAAAUCUCCUUAUUCGCC
rnacentral:tRNA from 1 species